AUACCAGCACCCCGAGUGGUCGGGACGAUUAUUGGGCCUAAAGCAUCCGUAGCCGGUUUUACAAGUCCUCCGUUAAAUCCAGCUGCUUAACAGAUGGGCUGCGGAGGAUACUAUAAGACUAGGAGGCAGGAGAGGCAAGCGGUACUCAGUGGGUAGGGGUAAAACCCGUUGAUCCAUUGAAGACCACCAGUGGCGAAGGCGGCUUGCCAGAAUGCGCUCGACGGUGAGGGAUGAAAGCUGGGGGAGCAAACCGGAUUAGAUACCCGGGUAGUCCCAGCUGUAAACGAUGCAGACUCGGUGAUGGACUAGCUUUAUGCUAGUCCAGUGCCGCAGGGAAGCCGUUAAGUCUGCCGCCUGGGUAGUACGGUCGCAAGACUGAAACUCAAAUGAAUUGACGGG
rnacentral:rRNA from 1 species